rnacentral:rRNA from 1 species
AUACGGGGGAUGCAAGCGUUAUUCGGAAUCAUUGGGCGUAAAGGGCACGCAGGCGGUUCUGUCAGUCAGAUGUGAAAGCCCGGGGCUUAACCCCGGACGUGCAUUUGAAACAGCAGGACUUGAGUAUGGUAGAGGAAAGCGGAAUUCCUGGUGUAGAGGUGAAAUUCGUAGAUAUCAGGAGGAACACCGGUGGCGAAGGCGGCUUUAUGGACCAAAACUGACGCUGAGGUGCGAAGGCGUGGGUAGCGAACAGGAUUAGAAACCCCGGUAGUCC